rnacentral:sRNA from 1 species
UGGCCAAAUCUGUUGCUUUCGCUGCUCUUGCUGGUCUUGCCGGUGUGUCUGCUUUCCAGCAGCCUGCCCCCAUCCAGAAUGCUGUGUCCGGUGCCUCCAAGAUGACCAUGAUGGCCGAGAUGAGCAAGGCCGUGCCUUUCCUCACCA